rnacentral:rRNA from 1 species
UACAGAGGGUGCGAGCGUUAAUCGGAAUUACUGGGCGUAAAGCGCGCGUAGGCGGCUUUGCAAGUCGGGUGUGAAAUCCCCAGGCUUAACCUGGGAACUGCAUUCGAGACUGCAUUGCUAGAGUAUGGGAGAGGGAAGUGGAAUUUCCGGUGUAGCGGUGAAAUGCGUAGAUAUCGGAAGGAACACCAGUGGCGAAGGCGGCUUCCUGGACUAAUACUGACGCUGAGGUGCGAAAGCGUGGGGAGCAAACAGG